AUUGAACGCUGGCGGCAGGCCUAACACAUGCAAGUCGAGCGGAUGAAGGGAGCUUGCUCCUGGAUUCAGCGGCGGACGGGUGAGUAAUGCCUAGGAAUCUGCCUGGUAGUGGGGGAUAACGUCCGGAAACGGGCGCUAAUACCGCAUACGUCCUGAGGUAGAAAGUGGGGGAUCUUCGGACCUCACGCUAUCAGAUGAGCCUAGGUCGGAUUAGCUAGUUGGUGGGGUAAAGGCCUACCAAGGCGACGAUCCGUAACUGGUCUGAGAGGAUGAUCAGUCACGCUGGAACUGAGGCACGGUCCAGACUCCUACGGGAGGCAGCAGUGGGGAAUAUUGGACAAUGGGCGAAAGCCUGAUCCAGCCAUGCCGCGUGUGUGAAGAAGGUCUUCGGAUUGUAAAGCACUUUAAGUUGGGAGGAAGGGCAGUAAGUUAAUACCUUGCUGUUUUGACGUUACCAACAGAAUAAGCACCGGCUAACUUCGG
rnacentral:rRNA from 1 species